rnacentral:rRNA from 1 species
CCUACGGGGGGCAGCAGUCGAGAAUCAUUCACAAUGGGGGAAACCCUGAUGGUGCGACGCCGCGUGGGGGAAUGAAGGUCUUCGGAUUGUAAACCCCUGUCAUGUGGGAGCAAAUUAAAAAGAUAGUACCACAAGAGGAAGAGACGGCUAACUCUGUGCCAGCAGCCGCGGUAAUACAGAGGUCUCAAGCGUUGUUCGGAAUCACUGGGCGUAAGGCGUGCGUAGGCUGUCUCGUAAGUCGUGUGUGAAAGGCGCGGGCUCAACCCGCGGACGGCACAUGAUACUGCGAGACUAGAGUAAUGGAGGGGGAACCGGAAUUCUCGGUGUAGCAGUGAAAUGCGUAGAUAUCGAGAGGAACACUCGUGGCGAAGGCGGGUUCCUGGACAUUAACUGACGCUGAGGCACGAAGGCCAGGGGAGCGAAAGGGAUUAGAUACCCCAGUAGUC